ACUACUAGAGUUAUUAAAAAAUAAAGGCAAAUAACUUUUUUAAUCUUCUAGUAGUAGCUACUUUACUAAAAUCCCAAAAAUGGAGGGCAAGAAAAAUUAUGUAUUAAAAGUAUUUGUCGUUCUUGCAUUAGUGCAAAUGAUGUUGGUUGGAAAAGUACAAGGAUGUGCUGGUGUUGGAGAAGGUUGUGGGGCUUUUAAUUGGUGUUGUAAUGGAGGUUCAAUGUUCAGAUUCCUUGAGUGGAGGUGUAUGUGUAUAUGACUCAUUCUCAGGUUGCAAGGGGUUUUGGGGAA